rnacentral:rRNA from 1 species
GACGAACGCUGGCGGCGUGCUUAACACAUGCAAGUCGAACGGAAAGGCCCUGCUUGCAGGGUACUCGAGUGGCGAACGGGUGAGUAACACGUGGGUGAUCUGCCCUGCACUUCGGGAUAAGCCUGGGAAACUGGGUCUAUUACCGGAUAGGAGCCAUUUUUAGUGUGAUGGUUGGAAAGUUUUUUCGGUGUAGGAUGAGCUCGCGGCCUAUCAGCUUGUUGGUGGGGUAAUGGCCUACCAAGGCGGCGACGGGUAGCCGGCCUGAGAGGGUGGACGGCCACAUUGGGACUGAGAUACGGCCCAGACGCCUACGGGAGGCAGCAGGGGGGAAUAUUGCACAAUGGGCGCAAGCCUGAUGCAGCGACGCCGCGUGGGGGAUGACGGCCUUCGGGUUGUAAACUCCUUUCGCUAGGGACGAAGCUUUUUGUGACGGUACCUAGAUAAGAAGCACCGGCUAACUACGUG